CAGUCCCUUAAUGGUGUGACUGGUCCCUUACUGGUCCCUUACCGGUGUGACCGGUCCCUUCCCAGUCCCUUACUGGUGUGACCAGUCCCUCCCAGUCCCUUACUGGUCCCCUCCCAGUCCCUUACUGGUGUGAACAGUCCCUUACUGUUGUGACCAGUCCCUCCCAGUCCCAUACUGGUCCCCUCCCAGUCCCGUACUGGCCCCUUACUGGUGUGACCAGUCCCUCCCAGUCCCAUACUGGUCCCCUCCCAGUCCCUUACUGGUGUGACCAGUCCCUCCCAGUCCCU
rnacentral:lncRNA from 7 species